GGGAUAACAUUCUGAAAAGAAUGCUAAUACCGCAUGACAUAUCGGAAUCACAUGAUUUUGAUAUCAAAGAUUUUAUCGCUUGAAGAUGGACUCGCGUCCGAUUAGUUAGUUGGUGAGGUAACGGCUCACCAAGACCGCGAUCGGUAGCCGGACUGAGAGGUUGAACGGCCACAUUGGGACUGAGACACGGCCCAGACUCCUACGGGAGGCAGCAGUGGGGGAUAUUGCGCAAUGGGGGCAACCCUGACGCAGCAACGCCGCGUGAAGGAUGAAGGUUUUCGGAUUGUAAACUUCUUUUAUUAAGGACGAAAAAUGACGGUACUUAAUGAAUAAGCUCCGGCUAACUACGUGCCAGCAGCCGCGGUAAUACGUAGGGAGCAAGCGUUGUCCGGAUUUACUGGGUGUAAAGGGUGCGUAGGCGGCUUUGCAAGUCAGAUGUGAAAUCUAUGGGCUCAACCCAUAAACUGCAUUUGAAACUGUAGAGCUUGAGUGAAGUAGAGGCAGGCGGGAUUCCCCGUGUAGCGGUGAAAUGCGUAGAGAUGGGGAGGAACACCAGUGGCGAAGGCGGCCUGCUGGGCUUUAACUGACGCUGAGGCACGAAAGCGUGGGUAGCAAACAGGAUUAGAUACCCUGGUAGUCCACGCUGUAAACGAUGAUUACUAGGUGUGGGGGGUCUGACCCCUUCCGUGCCGGAGUUAACACAAUAA
rnacentral:rRNA from 1 species